GGCGAAAUCAAAGUGAAGGUUCGCUCGUCGGUCGGCACGUUCAGGCCCCUCGCGGUCGGCUCGUCCACCUUCGACGCAAACCCAGGCGGGAUCCUUCGGUCGCGCAGCUUAGCGGCGAGCGGUUUCGGCCGCGUCUGGAGCCGCGGUUGUCGACCAACCGAGCACGUUCAACACGGUCAUCGGCGAACGUUCCCCUCUUACCACGGGCGCUCCGCGUUUCCCUCUUCCAACGUCUCCUCCUCCCUCCCUCUUCCCCGCCACUAUGCUGGCGCGGGCGAGAGUUCUCUGGGCUGGUUGGAGCGGAGGGUCAAACGGAUGUUUCGCUCUGGGGUAAACGCUUCGGGGGCACAAACGCGUUCGAUUUCCGACGGCUCGGGGGCGCACCGCCGGCCCGUCUCGUCCGCCCUCGGCGCAUCCCGACUUCCGUCUUCGGCGACUCCGGUCGCCUGCGGUCGUCGGCCCGAAAGUCGGUGAGGCGGAGCAAGAGCACACACGUUGGGACCCGAAAGAUGGUGAACUAUGCCCGGGCAGGACGAAGCCAGAGGAAACUCUGGUGGAGGUCCGUAGCGAUUCUGACGUGCAAAUCGAUCGUCGGACCUGGGUAUAGGGGCGAAAGACUAAUCGAACCAUCUAGUAGCUGGUUCCUUCCGAAGUUUCCCUCAGGAUAGCUGGUGCUCGUGAAAUUUCAGUCUCAUCCGGUAAAGCGAAUGAUUAGAGGCCUUGGGGCCGAAACGACCUCAACCUAUUCUCAAACUUUCAAUGGGUGAGAUGUCCGGCUUGCUUGAACCGCGCGAUUGC
rnacentral:rRNA from 1 species